rnacentral:rRNA from 1 species
UACGAAGGGGGGCUAGCGUUGCUCGGAAUCACUGGGCGUAAAGGGCGCGUAGGCGGGCUCUUUAAGUCAGGGGUGAAAUCCCGGGGCUCAACCCCGGAACUGCCUUUUGAUACUGGGUAUCUCGAGUCCGAGAGAGGUGAGUGGAAUUCCGAGUGUAGAGGUGAAAUUCGUAGAUAUUCGGAGGAACACCAGUGGCGAAGGCGGCUCACUGGCUCGGUACUGACGCUGAGGUGCGAAAGCGUGGGGAGCAAACAGG